rnacentral:rRNA from 1 species
CACGUACUGUGCGAACGUUAUUCGGAAUCACUGGGCUUAAAGGGCGCGUAGGCGGCAAUUCAAGUCAGGUGUGAAAUGCCUGAGCUCAACUGAGGCAUUGCGGUUGAAACUGAACUGCUUGAGUAUCCCAGGGGUGUGCGGAACUGCCAGUGGAGCGGUGAAAUGUGUUGAUAUUGGCAGGAACACCGGAGGCGAAAGCGGCACACUGGGGGAUAACUGACGCUGAGGCACGAAAGCCAGGGGAGCGAACGGG